UGAACGCUAGCGGCAGGCUUAACACAUGCAAGUCGAGGGGCAGCGCGGGAUAGCAAUAUCCUGGCGGCGACCGGCGGAAGGGUGCGUAACGCGUGAGCGACAUGCCCGUUGCCCGGGGACAACCGGUGGAAACGCCGACUAAUCCCCGAUGGGAUAUUGUGCCGCAUGGCACGAUAUUGAAAGUUACGGCGGCGACGGAUUGGCUCGCGUCCGAUUAGCUUGUUGGCGGGGUAACGGCCCACCAAGGCUGCGAUCGGUAGGGGUUCUGAGAGGAAGGCCCCCCACAAUGGGACUGAGACACGGCCCAUACUCCUACGGGAGGCAGCAGUGAGGAAUAUUGGACAAUGGGCGGAAGCCUGAACCAGCCAUGCCGCGUGCGGGAAGGAGGCCCUAUGGGCUGUGAACCGCUUUUGCCUGGGGGCAAUAAGGGCGUCGCGCACGUCCGAUGAGAGUACCAGGCGAAUAAGCAUCGGCUAACUCCGUG
rnacentral:rRNA from 1 species